UACGGAGGGAGCUAGCGUUGUUCGGAAUUACUGGGCGUAAAGCGCACGUAGGCGGCUUUGUAAGUUAGAGGUGAAAGCCCAGGGCUCAACCCUGGAAUUGCCUUUAAGACUGCAUCGCUUGAACAUCGAAGAGGUAAGUGGAAUUCCGAGUGUAGAGGUGAAAUUCGUAGAUAUUCGGAAGAACACCAGUGGCGAAGGCGACUUACUGGACGAUUGUUGACGCUGAGGUGCGAAAGCGUGGGGAGCAAACAGG
rnacentral:rRNA from 1 species